CACGUAGGGUGCGAGCGUUGUCCGGAAUUAUUGGGCGUAAAGAGCUCGUAGGCGGUGUGUCGCGUCGGCCGUGAAAACCUGCAGCUUAACUGUGGGCUUGCGGUCGAUACGGGCAUCACUGGAGUUCGGCAGGGGAGACUGGAAUUCCUGGUGUAGCGGUGAAAUGCGCAGAUAUCAGGAAGAACACCCGUGGCGAAGGCGGCUCUCUGGGACGGUAACUGACGCUGAGACGCGAAAGCGUGGGGAGCGAACAGG
rnacentral:rRNA from 1 species